GAUGAACGCUGGCGGCGUGCCUAAUACAUGCAAGUCAAGCGAACGGACGAGAAGCUUGCUUCUCUGAUGUUAGCGGCGGACGGGUGAGUAACACGUCGAUAACCUACCUAUAAGACUGGGAUAACUUCGGGAAACCGGAGCUAAUACCGGAUAAUAUUUUGAACCGCAUGGUUCAAAAGUGAAAGACGGUCUUGCUGUCACUUAUAGAUGGAUCCGCGCUGCAUUAGCUAGUUGGUAAGGUAACGGCUUACCAAGGCAACGAUGCAUAGCCGACCUGAGAGGGUGAUCGGCCACACUGGAACUGAGACACGGUCCAGACUCCUACGGGAGGCAGCAGUAGGGAAUCUUCCGCAAUGGGCGAAAGCCCGACGGAGCAACGCCGCGUGAGUGAUGAAGGUCUUCGGAUCGUAAAACUCUGUUAUUAGGGAAGAACAUAUGUGUAAGUAACUGUGCACAUCUUGACGGUACCUAAUCAGAAAGCCACGGCUAACUACGUG
rnacentral:rRNA from 1 species